UACGUAGGUGGCAAGCGUUGUCCGGAUUUACUGGGCGUAAAGAGCGCGCAGGCGGUCGGAUAAGUCGAGUGUGAAAGCCCCUGGCUCAACCAGGGAGGGGCAUUCGAUACUGUUCGACUCGAAGGCAGGAGAGGGAAGUGGAAUUCCGGGUGUAGUGGUGAAAUGCGUAGAUAUCCGGAGGAACACCAGUGGCGAAGGCGACUUUCUGGCCUGUUCUUGACGCUGAGGCGCGAAAGCUAGGGGAGCAAACGGG
rnacentral:rRNA from 1 species